rnacentral:misc_RNA from 1 species
UUUCCGUAGGUGAACCUGCGGAAGGAUCAUUACCAAGAGUUAUCGUGGGGGCUUGUCCUCACGAAACCUCCACCCCGUGCUUGGUUGACCCGCCUUUGUCGUUGCCUCGGCGGGGGGUUGCGCAGCAGCGCUUUCCCCCGCCGGCAGACAGCCAUUAAAACCCUAGUGUUAAACGAUGUAGUCGGAGCCCUUCGUGGCGAAAUAAAAAUUAACAAGUCAAAACUUUCAACAACGGAUCUCUUGGUUCUG